GAUGAACGCUGGCGGCGUGCUUAACACAUGCAAGUCGAACGAAGCACUUUAUUUGAUUUCCUUCGGGACUGAUUAUUUUGUGACUGAGUGGCGGACGGGUGAGUAACGCGUGGGUAACCUGCCUUGUACAGGGGGAUAACAGUUGGAAACGGCUGCUAAUACCGCAUAAGCGCACAGCAUCGCAUGAUGCAGUGUGAAAAACUCCGGUGGUAUAAGGUGGACCCGCGUUGGAUUAGCUAGUUGGUGAGGUAACGGCCCACCAAGGCGACGAUCCAUAGCCGACCUGAGAGGGUGACCGGCCACAUUGGGACUGAGACACGGCCCAAACUCCUACGGGAGGCAGCAGUGGGGAAUAUUGCACAAUGGGCGAAAGCCUGAUGCAGCGACGCCGCGUGAGCGAAGAAGUAUUUCGGUAUGUAAAGCUCUAUCAGCAGGGAAGAUAAUGACGGUACCUGACGAAGAAGCACCGGCUAAAUACGUG
rnacentral:rRNA from 1 species